CCUACGGGUGGCAGCAGUCGAGAAUCAUUCACAAUGGGGGAAACCCUGAUGGUGCGACGCCGCGUGGGGGAAUGAAGGUCUUCGGAUUGUAAACCCCUGUCAUGUGGGAGCAAAUUAAAAAGAUAGUACCACAAGAGGAAGAGACGGCUAACUCUGUGCCAGCAGCCGCGGUAAUACAGAGGUCUCAAGCGUUGUUCGGAAGCACUGGGCGUAAGGCGUGCGUAGGCUGUUUCGUAAGUCGUGUGUGAAAGGCGCGGGCUCAACCCGCGGACGGCACAUGAUACUGCGAGACUAGAGUAAUGGAGGGGGAACCGGAAUUCUCGGUGUAGCAGUGAAAUGCGUAGAUAUCGAGAGGAACACUCGUGGCGAAGGCGGGUUCCUGGACAUUAACUGACGCUGAGGCACGAAGGCCAGGGGAGCGAAAGGGAUUAGAUACCCCGGUAGUC
rnacentral:rRNA from 1 species